AUUGAACGCUGGCGGCAGGCUUAACACAUGCAAGUCGAGCGGAGAUGAGGUGCUUGCACCUUAUCUUAGCGGCGGACGGGUGAGUAAUGCUUAGGAAUCUGCCUAUUAGUGGGGGACAACAUUCCGAAAGGAAUGCUAAUACCGCAUACGCCCUACGGGGGAAAGCAGGGGAUCUUCGGACCUUGCGCUAAUAGAUGAGCCUAAGUCGGAUUAGCUAGUUGGUGGGGUAAAGGCCUACCAAGGCGACGAUCUGUAGCGGGUCUGAGAGGAUGAUCCGCCACACUGGGACUGAGACACGGCCCAGACUCCUACGGGAGGCAGCAGUGGGGAAUAUUGGACAAUGGGCGGAAGCCUGAUCCAGCCAUGCCGCGUGUGUGAAGAAGGCCUUUUGGUUGUAAAGCACUUUAAGCGAGGAGGAGGCUACUUAGAUUAAUACUCUAGGAUAGUGGACGUUACUCGCAGAAUAAGCACCGGCUAACUCUGUGCCAGCCGCCGCGGUAACAC
rnacentral:rRNA from 1 species